CGUGGGGUGAGAAAAGCGGCUGCUUUCCCUUCUGUGCUCUCUGCCUAUUGCUAUUCAUUCACUCUACCGCCUUCUCUUUGUGCUUUUACCUUUGGUUUUCUAAGUGGGUGAACUCUAGCAACUGUAAGUGGAGGAGAGGUUGAAGGAGGUUUGGGUCGAUUUUGUUUGAGGUGUCGAUUUAAGGAGAAACUGAGCCCGGUUAAAGCCUUGGUGGUCAUCAUCUUCUGCACAACAUAUGGUAUCAGAGCUUUGUGGGAUUUCUCCGGCCAAGAUUCGACUAAAAGAGGCCAAAUCGCGCGGUUUACGUGAAGUGGCCGAACCUGAAAAUCCAAAUUCCAGCCAAACCUGUGACCGACCGGGAAAACCAAGGCCAUACCCGGAAUCAGCAGGCUAUACCAGAACUGAAUUGCAGCGUUCUAAUUUGUUGAACUUUUGCUGGUAUAAAACAUGACAAUGAACCAGCGGAACACUAUUGAUCUAGAACGGGGAUGGGACUUUAUUCAGCAAAGAAUCACAAAGCUGAAGAACAUUUUGGAAGGGUUUCCUGGCCACAAUUCAGCUCGGAGGACUAUAUGAUGCUCUAUACGUACUGCCUCCACUGAGAGAAAAACAUGAUGAAUUAAUAUUAAGGGAGGGAGCUUGUGAAGUAGUGGUCAAACUAUAAAAUCAUGGUCAGGUGGCUCUCAAGAUUCUUCAAGUAUCUUGAUCGGCACUUCAUUCCUAGGAGGUUGCUCCCACCACUCAAAGAAGUUGGUCUCACUUGCUUCGGAGACCUGGUAACUUUCGAUUGUGUGAAAUCCGACUUCUUCGAGUGGUGGGAGCGACCUCCUAGGAAUGAGGUUGCACAAAAGCACAUGGAAGUUACCAUGAGCGACCUCCUAUUUAUAUGUUUCUGUUUUGAAUUUCUCUCUCUGCUGUCUGAGAAACUGGUAAUUGCCACCAAGUAGAAGCAGUUGCUCAUUCCUUCGUUCUUUUUGUGUCUUGCAUAUUUUAUUUUUUAUAUUUUGCCCUCUUUUACAUAUCCUGUUUUCAGCUGUGUUUAUAAGAAAUGUUGGGUUCUAAAUUCUAA